AAAGGAAGCGAUUCCGGCUACGGAUGGUCAUGCGUCGCAUUAGCUAGUUGGCGGGGUAACGGCCCACCAAGGCGACGAUGCGUAGGGGUUCUGAGAGGAAGGUCCCCCACACUGGUACUGAGACACGGACCAGACUCCUACGGGAGGCAGCAGUGAGGAAUAUUGGUCAAUGGCCGCAGGGCUGAACCAGCCAAGUCGCGUGAGGGAUGACGGUCCUAUGGAUUGUAAACCUCUUUUGUCAGGGAGCAAAGGACGCCACGUGUGGCGUUUUGCGAGUACCUGAAGAAAAAGCAUCGGCUAACUCCGUGCCAGCAGCCGCGGUAAUACGGAGGAUGCGAGCGUUAUCCGGAUUUAUUGGGUUUAAAGGGUGCGCAGGCGGAAUGUCAAGUCAGCGGUAAAAUUUCGGGGCUCAACCCUGUCGUGCCGUUGAAACUGGCGUUCUUGAGUGAGCGAGAAGUAUGCGGAAUGCGUGGUGUAGCGGUGAAAUGCAUAGAUAUCACGCAGAACUCCGAUUGCGAAGGCAGCAUACCGGCGCUCAACUGACGCUCAUGCACGAAAGCGUGGGUAUCGAACAGGAUUAGAUACCCUGGUAGUCCACGCAGUAAACGAUGAAUACUAACUGUCCGGGCCGAUUGAGGUCUGG
rnacentral:rRNA from 1 species